UUUUAUGGAUGAACAACGAAGGUGGUUUCCUGAGAUGGAACCUACUCUUGGUGAAGAUACUGUGAA
rnacentral:pre_miRNA from 1 species